rnacentral:rRNA from 1 species
AUUGAACGCUGGCGGCAGGCCUAACACAUGCAAGUCGAACGAGUGGCGGACGGGUAAGUAAUGUCUGGGAAACUGCCUUAUGGAGGGGGCGAACUACUGGAAAAGGUAGCUAAUACCGCAUAACAUCAGAUGGGCUCAGAUGGGAUUAGCUAGUUGGUGGGGUAACGGCUCACCACGGCGACGAUCCCUAGCUGGUCUGAGAGGAUGACCAGCCACACUGGAACUGAGACACGGUCCAGACUCCUACGGGAGGCAGCAGGGGGGAAUAUUGCACAAUGGGCGCAAGCCUGAUGCAGCCAUGCCGCGUGUAUGAAGAAGGCCUUCGGGUUGUAAAGUACUUUCAGCGGGGAGGCGUUACCCGCAGAAGAAGCACCGGCUAACUCCGUGCCAGCAGCCGCGGUAAUUC